AAAAGCCUGAUAGAGAAUUGAAGACUAGAGAUCUGCCAGGAGUUGCUGCAAGGACUUCAGGAACUGCAUUCAUAUGGAAUUUUGCACAGAGACCUGAAGCCUGAAAAUAUUUUGUUUGAUAUCAACAAUAAACUGUACAUCGCAGACUUUGGAGUAAGCAGAAAACUGGAUCUGGCACAAACCACACUGCUCUCUCAAAUGGCUGGAUCUUUUUCUUGGUCAAGUUAUGAAGAUGUUGGAGGCAUGCAAUACAAGUACAAGAAAGAAUCAGAUAUCCAGGUAGCAGGAUGCUUGGUGCAUUACAUCCUGACGGACGGGCAACACCCCUAUCAGACAACUACACCCUACUCCAAGGAUCCAGUUGGACUAUCUCAAAAUGUCAGAAUGGG